rnacentral:rRNA from 1 species
AUACAGAGGGUGCGAACGUUAAUCGGAAUUACUGGGCGUAAAGCGCGCGUAGGCGGCUUAUUAAGUCAGAUGUGAAAUCCCCGGGCUCAACCUGGGAACUGCAUCUGAUACUGGUAAGCUAGAGUUUGGGAGAGGGAAGUAGAAUUUCAGGUGUAGCGGUGAAAUGCAUAGAGAUCUGAAGGAAUACCAGUGGCGAAGGCGACUUCCUGGCCUAAAACUGACGCUGAGGUGCGAAAGCGUGGGUAGCAAACGGGAUUAGAAACCCCAGUAGUCC